CAAGGAUCCACCACGACGAGACGAGACACUUUAUUUGUGCGCUGAUGAAUAGAGCAGCCGGAGUCUACCGGCGAGUUGAUUGUGAGCAGUAAAUGAAGGACACUUUAGUUUGCCUUUCAAAUAGUUUCGAAUUAGCAAACCUGAAGAUGAAUUGAAAGUGCAGAACGACAUGCACGAUUAAAAUAAAGUACAUAAUCAUGGGUAAUGUCCGUUUUCAACAAAACUCGGAACAUCGUUUACUCAGCAGUGGAACACCAUGUGUUUUACCAUGUUUAAACGUAACAAACCAGAAAUUUUGCGUCGGUAUGUGAUAAUGGAUGAAACAUGGAUUCAUCACUUCACUCCGAAACGAUCGUCAUCUGAGUGGACAGCGACUGGUGAACCUCGUCCAAAGCGCCCGAAAGCACAUCAAUCUGGAAAAGUAAAGGCCUCAGUAUUUUUGGACGCAUAUGGUGUAAUAUUUAUCGACUAUCUUGAGAAAGGAAGUACCAUUACCAGUGAAUAUUAUAUUGUAUUUUUGGUGCGUUUGAAGGCUGAAAUUGCAAAGAAACGACCGCACAUGGUGAAGAAAAAAAACUUGUUUGAUUAAGACAACGCACCGUGUCACAAGUCCAUCAAAACAAUGACAAAACUACAUGAAUUGAACUUUGAAUUGCUCCCAAAUCCACCGUAUUCAUCAGAUUUGGCUCCCAUUGACUACUGGCUGUAAGAAAUUUUGCACGUAUGAAAGAGUUAUCGCUGAAACUGAGGCCUAUUUUGAGGCAAAAGAUAAA